rnacentral:snoRNA from 1 species
UUGCAAUAGAGGGUUUAGAGUCUGACAAACUCAGAUAGCCUAUGUGUUGUCAUCAGCUUCUUCUCUUAAUCCAUGGAGUUGGGGUUAAAUCACAGCACGAAAUUU